CUUCAUAGUAUCUGGAGCUUCGUUUUAGUAAAAGUGUUCGGAUAUGUGGCACUGUGACCUUCAUCUUUCAGAUGGUGAUCUAUAUGGGAGUUGUUCUGUAUGCUCCAGCACUUGCACUUAAUGCAGUAACAGGUUUUGACCUUUGGGGGGCAGUGCUGGCCAUGGGAUUGGUGUGCACACUUUAUACAGCAUUGG